rnacentral:rRNA from 1 species
CUAAGUGACAAAGCGUACAAGGUGGAUGCCUUGGCAAUCAGAGGCGAAGAAGGACGUGCUAAUCUGCGAAAAGCUUGGAUGAGUCGAUAAGAGGCGUUUAAUCCAAGAUGUCCGAAUGGGGAAACCCAGUAGAUGAAGAAUCUACUAUCACUUACUGAAUUCAUAGGUAAGUGAGGCGAACCGGGAGAACUGAAACAUCUAAGUACCCCGAGGAAAAGAAAUCAACCGAGAUUUUGUGAGUAGCGGCGAGCGAAAGCGAAAGAGCCUGUUAGUGAUAGCGAUAGAGACAGAGGAACAAGCUGGGAAGCUUGGCGACACAGGGUGAUAGCCCCGUACUCGAAGUCCAGGUCGUGGUACUAAGCUAACGAGAAGUAGGGCGGGACACGUGAUAUCCUGUUUGAAGAUGGGGGGACCAUCCUCCAAGGCUAAAUACUCCUGAUUGACCGAUAGUGAACCAGUACUGUGAAGGAAAGGCGAAAAGAACCCCGGUGAGGGGAGUGAAAUAGAACCUGAAACCUUGUACGUACAAGCAGUGGGAGCCCGCAAGGGUGACUGCGUACCUUUUGUAUAAUGGGUCAGCGACUUAUAUUUUGUAGCGAGGUUAACCGAAUAGGGGAGCCGAAGGGAAACCGAGUCUUAACUGGGCGAAUAGUUGCAAGGUAUAGACCCGAAACCCGGUGAUCUAGCCAUGGGCAGGUUGAAGGUUGGGUAACACUAACUGGAGGACCGAACCGACUAAUGUUGAAAAAUUAGCGGAUGACUUGUGGCUGGGGGUGAAAGGCCAAUCAAACCGGGAGAUAGCUGGUUCUCCCCGAAAUCUAUUUAGGUAGAGCCUUGAGCGGACACCUUCGGGGGUAGAGCACUGUUUCGGCUAGGGGUCCAUCCCGGAUUACCAACCCGAUGCAAACUACGAAUACCGAAGAGUGAUACUCAGGAGACACACGGCGGGUGCUAACGUCCGUCGUGGAGAGGGAAACAACCCAGACCGCCAGCUAAGGUCCCAAAGUCUAUAUUAAGUGGGAAACGAAGUGGGAAGGCUUAGACAGCUAGGAUGUUGGCUUAGAAGCAGCCAUCAUUUAAAGAAAGCGUAAUAGCUCACUAGUCGAGUCGGCCUGCGCGGAAGAUGUAACGGGGCUCAAAUAUAGCACCGAAGCUGCGGCAUCAGACGUAAGUCUGUUGGGUAGGGGAGCGUUGUGUAAGCGGAUGAAGGUGGCUCGAGAGGGCUGCUGGACGUAUCACAAGUGCGAAUGCUGACAUAAGUAACGAUAAAACGGGUGAAAAACCCGUUCGCCGGAAGACCAAGGGUUCCUGUCCAACGUUAAUCGGGGCAGGGUGAGUCGGCCCCUAAGGCGAGGCUGAAAAGCGUAGUCGAUGGGAAACGGGUUAAUAUUCCCGUACUUGGUAAAGCUGCGAUGUGGGGACGGAGCAGGUUAGGUUAGCGUACUGUUGGAUAUGUACGUUUAAGUUGGUAGGUGGGAAGUUUAGGCAAAUCCGGACUUCCUUAACACUGAGAGAUGAUGACGAGGCUCUACGGAGCUGAAGUAACUGAUACCACACUUCCAGGAAAAGCCACUAAGCGAAAGGCUUUACUAAACCGUACUGAAAACCGACACAGGUGGUCAGGUAGAGAAUACUCAGGCGCUUGAGAGAACUCGGGUGAAGGAACUAGGCAAAAUAGCACCGUAACUUCGGGAGAAGGUGCGCCGGCGUAGAUUGUAGUCCCUCGCGGGCGAAGGUUGAACCGGUCGAAGAUACCAGCUGGCUGCAACUGUUUAUUAAAAACACAGCACUCUGCAAACACGAAAGUGGACGUAUAGGGUGUGACGCCUGCCCGGUGCUGGAAGGUUAAUUGAAGAUGUGCAAGCAUCGGAUCGAAGCCCCAGUAAACGGCGGCCGUAACUAUAACGGUCCUAAGGUAGCGAAAUUCCUUGUCGGGUAAGUUCCGACCUGCACGAAUGGCAUAAUGAUGGCCAGGCUGUCUCCACCCGAGACUCAGUGAAAUUGAAAUCGCCGUGAAGAUGCGGUGUACCCGCGGCUAGACGGAAAGACCCCGUGAACCUUUACUAUAGCUUGACACUGAACAUUGAAUUUUGAUGUGUAGGAUAGGUGGGAGACUUUGAAGUAGUCACGCCAGUGAUUAUGGAGUCGUCCUUGAAAUACCACCCUUUAACGUUUGAUGUUCUAACGAAGAUUGCGAAACGCGGUCUCGGACAGUGUCUGGUGGGUAGUUUGACUGGGGCGGUCUCCUCCCAAAGCGUAACGGAGGAGCACGAAGGUUUGCUAAUCACGGUCGGACAUCGUGAGGUUAGUGCAAUGGUAUAAGCAAGCUUAACUGCGAGACAGACAAGUCGAGCAGGUACGAAAGUAGGUCAUAGUGAUCCGGUGGUUCUGCAUGGAAGGGCCAUCGCUCAACGGAUAAAAGGUACUCCGGGGAUAACAGGCUGAUACCGCCCAAGAGUUCAUAUCGACGGCGGUGUUUGGCACCUCGAUGUCGGCUCAUCUCAUCCUGGGGCUGUAGCCGGUCCCAAGGGUAUGGCUGUUCGCCAUUUAAAGAGGUACGUGAGCUGGGUUUAAAACGUCGUGAGACAGUUUGGUCCCUAUCUGCUGUGGGCGUUGGAGAUUUGACGGGGGCUGCUCCUAGUACGAGAGGACCGGAGUGGACACACCUCUGGUGUACCUGUUGUCACGCCAGUGGCAUCGCAGGGUAGCUAAGUGUGGAAGAGAUAACCGCUGAAAGCAUCUAAGCGGGAAACUUGCCUGAAGAUGAGAUCUCCCUGGGGACUCGAUCCCCCUGAAGGGUCGUCCAAGACCAGGACGUUGAUAGGCCGGGUGUGGAAGCGCAGUAAUGCGUGCAGCUAACCGGUACUAAUUGCCCGUGAGGCUUGACCCU